GUGAAACCUAGGGCCCUUGGUUGCUCUUUAAAUACUCCCAAAUUAGGGUUCAUUUUUCCUGACAACCCACCAAUCCCCCUUUUUCUCUCUAUCUGUCUUGGGCUUUCCCUUCUUUGACCUUGUGUUUCCAAGGGGAAAUGCCCAAGUGAUGCCCUCAAUUGCCGCAGAAGUUCUGAUCAAUAAGCUGCUAUCCCCUUUUCCUCUUCAAUAAAUUGGGUGGAUCUAUGGUUUCAAAACCCUAGAUUUAGAGUAGUUCAACAAGAGCCAUGCCCUUAGAUGCAGGAGGAGAAAGGCUGAUAUUCAAGAUUUUGCCACUCUUUUAAGUUGUAGAUCUGGGUUUCAGGAACAAAAUCAGGGAUCACAGGGAGGCUAGAUCCAGUUAUGUCCAAGGAGAUUGAGUUGGAGAAAUGGUUUGGAUAUUAUUUCGUGAUUGGAAUGGAGGGUCUUGGGAAAUAUAACCGAGCCGAAUGGAUGGUCUAAGCAAGCGCGUAAUGCAAAUUUUCCAAUGUAAAGUGUGCUAAACAUGCCUUUGUAUUUAACUAGGAGUGUUCAGGGCAUGUGAAACAGUUGCAUCAAUCAUGGGUACUAUAACUUUCAUCUUGAUUAUGUAUAGUUGAAAGAAGUACCAUUAGCAGCAAAGACACUUGGAGAUAUGUGUUUAUAAGGAAUGCAUUUCGAUUCGCUUUAAGAUGGAUCAUAAUCAAUUGUCAUCAUACGAGGAUUAAUGGUGAAAUACUACUCUUUUGUUUAUAAAUGACAAUUGAGAAGUAUAAAUCAAUACAAUUGUGGAUGGCACAAGAUGUUGAUCUACCAUUUGGCUUGUGUUAAAGAGGACGUUAUCUUCUGUGAUGAAGAGGAUGCCAUUUUUUACUACGACACUAAGAUAUCCUUGAACACUUCAAGAUUUGUAUUUUAUAAAUUUAGCAAUACAUUUGAUAAAUUCAAUAAGGUAAAUUGCGCGAAGCAACUCAAUGGUUAACAGUGCGGGUUUAGAGGUUUCUAUGGACUUACGCAAUAUUAUUCUUUGCAAAUACAGUACAGAUUUGGAGGCUUCUAUUGGCACACUCGACAUUCUUCUUUGCAAAUAUCAAAAGACCGGGGAAAUUUGAGGAGGGUUUGUAUGAAUGUAAACUGAUAGCUCAUCUCUUUUAUGUAUGAAAACUCUUUCCAAUUUUGUGUAUACUGGAAGGGAUGCUGUCUCUUUCCCUCUUCUUGAAUGAGGAUACCUUUCUCCAUUUUUAGGAUGUAAACAGGAGGGCCCGACCCUCUUGACUUUGAUUCUGAUAAGAUUUGGGCAAGGCUUGGGCCGGGCUUAGCCCAAGUUUGGAAUUUGAUUCCUAGCCCAAGUCAGGCCCCAGACCCAA